rnacentral:rRNA from 1 species
UCAAGCUAGAAAGAGCGCAAGGGGAAUGCCUUGGCAUCAGGAGCCGAUGAAGGACGCGACAAGCUGCGAUAAGCUUCGGGUAGCUGCAAAUAAGCAAUGAUCCGGAGAUUUCCGAAUGGGGCAACCCGGCACGGCAAUACCGUGUCAGCGUGCACUGAAUCAAAUAGGUGUACGUGGGGAACCGCCUGAACUGAAACAUCUAAGUAGGGCGAGGAAAAGACAUCAACCGAGAUUCCGCAAGUAGUGGCGAGCGAACGCGGAGGAGGCCAAACCAGAGGUCAUUGAUCUCUGGGGUAAGGACUUGCAUCAUGAUCAGAGGUAUCUAGUCGAAUGGCGUGGGAAAGCCAACCACAGAGGGUGAGAGUCCCGUAGACGAAAGAGAAGACUGACAGCGAGUAUCCAGAGUACCGCCGGACACGUGAAACCCGGUGGGAACAUGGGAGGACCACCUUCCAAGCCUAAAUACUACCUGAUGACCGAUAGAGAAGCAGUACCGUGAGGGAAAGGUGAAAAGAACCCCGGGAGGGGAGUGAAAUAGUACCUGAAACCUUGUGCUUACAAGCAGUCAGAGCACGUUAAAGUGUGAUGGCGUACCUUUUGUAGAAUGGUCCGGCGAGUUAUAGUCACUGGCGAGGUUAAGCAAUUCAGUUGUGGAGCCGAAGGGAAACCGAGUCUUAAUAGGGCGUCGAGUCAGUGGCCAUAGACCUGAAACCGGGUGACCUAUCCAUGAGCAGGUUGAAGUUGGUGUAAAAGCCAAUGGAGGACCGAACCCACGUUCGUUGCAAUGACCGGGGAUGACUUGUGGAUAGCGGAGAAAUUCCAAUCGAACUCGGAGAUAGCUGGUUCUCCCCGAAAUAGCUUUAGGGCUAGCGUUGUGUUAGUUUACCGGAGGUAGAGCACUGAAUUGGCUAAGGGGCGAUGAGCUUACUGAACCUUAUCAAACUUCGAAUGCCGGAUAAAUGGUGCACAGCAGUCAGACAGUGUGAGAUAAGUUUCAUUGUCAAGAGGGAAACAGCCCAGACCCACAGCUAAGGUCCCAAAUGAACGCUAAGUGGAAAACGAUGUGGGGUUGCAAAAACAACCAGGAUGUUGGCUUAGAGGCAGCCACUCAUUAAAAGAGUGCGUAAUAGCUCACUGGUCGAGUGACCCUGCGCGGAAAAUAUAACGGGGCUAAGCGUCCAACCGAAGCUUGGGAUGUCUAAGGACAUGGUAGGGGAGCGUCGUGUAUAGGGAGAAGCAUGAGCGAGAGCACAUGUGGACAGUACACGAGUGAGAAUGCCGGAAUGAGUAGCGAGAAUUAUGUGGGAAUCAUAAUGGCCGAAAAUCUAAGGUUUCUUGGGGAAGGUUCGUCCGCCCAAGGUAAGCCGGGAGCUAAGGCGAGGCCGAAAGGCGUAGUCGAUGCACAUACGGUUGAAAUUCCGUAGCCGCCGAAAUUGUUAAGCACAGGGACACAUAGAGAUAUCCGAACCCGGGCGUUGGUUGACCCGGGCGCAAGGGACCGAACAUCAGUAGGGAAGUCGGAGAUGCUCUGUGGCGAGAAAAGCUGUGUGUAUUGAUUAGGCGCCCGUACCGCAAACCGACACAGGUAGAUGAGGAGAGAAUCCUAAGGCCAACGGGAGAAGGGUUGUUAAGGAACUCGGCAAAUUGACCCCGUAACUUCGGGAUAAGGGGAGCCUCCUACGGGAGGCCGCAGUGAAUAGGCCCAAGCAACUGUUUACCAAAAACACAGGUCUCUGCUAAAUCGAAAGAUGACGUAUAGGGGCUGACGCCUGCCCGGUGCCGGAAGGUUAAGAGGAGAGCUUAGCGCAAGCGAAGGUUCGAAUUGAAGCCCCGGUAAACGGCGGCCGUAACUAUAACGGUCCUAAGGUAGCGAAAUUCCUUGUCAGGUAAGUUCUGACCCGCACGAAUGGCGUAAUGAUUUGGGCACUGUCUCAACAGCCCGCCCGGCGAAAUUGUAGUACUGGUGAAGAUGCCAGUUACCCGCAACUACACGGAAAGACCCCAUGGAGCUUUACUGUAGCCUAAUACUGAAGAUCGGUAAUGC